GGGCGUUAGCUCAGGGGUUUAGAGCGCCUGCUUCACACGCAGGAGGUCGGUGGUUCGAAUCCAUCACGCCCCA
rnacentral:tRNA from 1 species